rnacentral:rRNA from 1 species
CCCUUAGAUGUCCGGGGCCGCACGCGCGCUACACUGAAGGAAUCAGCGUGGCUUUCUCCCUGACCCGAAAGGGUUGGGAAACCCGUUGAAUCUCCUUCGUGAUAGGGAUUGGGGCUUGAAAUUGUUCCCCAUGAACGAGGAAUUCCCAGUAAGCGCGAGUCAUAAGCUCGCGUUGAUUACGUCCCUGCCCUUUGUACACACCGCCCGUCGCUACUACCGAUUGAACGGUUUAGUGAGGGCCUCGGACUGGUCCCGCUGUCGGACAGGCAACUGUUUGCAGCGCGUGCGCCGGGAAGAAGGUCGAACUUGACUAUCUAGAGGAAGUAAAAGUCGUAACA